CCCUCCUCUGAAGACUGCUCUCAAACCAAGACCUAUAGGCAGUAUAAUACCUCGUCUUCUAUCCAGUAGUGAGGGAUUACUGGAAAUAAGUUUCGCA
ncrna:unclassified sequences PhotoRC-II RNA